rnacentral:rRNA from 1 species
UACGUAGGGAGCAAGCGUUGUCCGGAAUCAUUGGGCGUAAAGCGCGCGUAGGCGGCUCGAUCAGUCUGUUGUGAAAGUCAAAGGCUCAACCUUUGAAUGCCGAUGGAUACUGUCGAGCUAGAGUCCGGAAGAGGCGAGUGGAAUUCCUGGUGUAGCGGUGAAAUGCGCAGAUAUCAGGAGGAACACCAAUGGCGAAGGCAGCUCGCUGGGACGGUACUGACGCUGGAGACGCGAAAGCGUGGGGAGCGAACAGG